CGCGGCGGCCGGGGCGCGCUGGGCCGGGGCAGUAAGGCGUGUGUGCCCGGCGGGCCGGCGUGUGUGCCCGGCGGGCCGCCCGCCCGUCCUGGCUGGACCGAGAGUGCUGCAGGAGCGGUCAAGUCUUUGGUUAGCUUCUGACACAAGCCAGGGCAGGGGCACCGUCAGCAUCCCCCCGGGAUCCCGGGCAGGUGGUUACCAUACGUGUCUUCACACGGCAUCUGGGAUCUCUGCUUCUGUCAUGGCUUCCACUAACCCGAGACCUAUUCUGUGUCACUACGGCUUUGAGCAGGUGGAAAAAGAGCCCAGGGUUCAAUGAUCAGCCAGAGGCCUCAUUCACAGAGUUAACAACAGCCUGACAGAUCGCCCUGAUUCCCUGGGCAUUGAUAAGCUGCUCAUAAUGCUCACCAGAGGAAACGAAUUACACUGCGUAGCUUGCAGCCUGUCUCCCAGCAAUUUCAGGCCUUCAAGAAUCCUAAAUUUAUUAUGAGCUUACCGUGAUAAUUGAAAAAUUAACAAAGAGAGUGUAGUACUUCAGAAGACAAAAGUAAUUUCCUAAUUUUUCACUACGUGUUGGUUUUGAAUGGCCUGGUUUUUGGUAGCAGGGGGACCACAAAGGUGGCUUUUUUGAGAAGAUGCUGGAAGCUUCCACCAUGUCCAGCAGAGCCAGUCCCUGAUGGCUCUGAAGAUGGUCAUGUGCUGGCUGAGGCUGGGCCAAGUAGAGAUGAUGGUAACUCCUCUGUGAUAAUAGAUUUAAGAAGAAAUCCAAACAAAGGUGUGAGGUGCACUUUUAAUUCCAGCCAGUGAAGGGGAGGAGGUGAGAACAUGUGAGGGAAACAACAUGGAGACACUGAGGUCAGUGGAGAAAGAUGGGGAGGAGGUGCUUCAGGUGCCAGAGCUGAGAUUCCUCUGCAGGCCAUGGUGAUAACCAUGGUGAAGCAGCUGUGCCCCUGCAGCUCGUGGGGGAUGCAGAGAUCCACCCGCAGCUCCUGGGGGAGAUGCCAGAGCAGGCGGAUGCCUGAUGCACUUCUGCCUGUGAUCCAGUGGGAGACCCAAACAGAGACAGAGGGCCCUUGCUUCCAGCUUGGAGCAGCCUGUCACCGGAGGACUGCACCCCAAAGAAGAGUGACCAACACCAUAGAAAUUUUGGGAGGACUAUGUGCCUGUGGGAAAUUGGACUCAUGUUGCAGCAGUUUUGGAAGGACUGCUGUUCAUGAGAGUGGAUCCACGUUGGAGAGGUUCACAGAGAACUGUCUCCUGUGGAAAGAGCCCCCAUGGCCUCACAGGGGAACAACUUGUCUUCCUGAGGAGUGGAAGAAAACCUCAGGUGAUGAACUGAUCAAAACCCCCAUGCCCUGUCUCCCUGCACCGUCGAUGGGAAGGAGGGAGGCGUUGGGGGAAGAAAAGGUGCUUUUAAGGGCAUAUUUUAUUUGUCAUUAUCCUCCUCUGAUUUUGUUAGUAAUAAACUCAGGCUGUGUCUCUA